GACGAACGCUGGCGGCGUGCUUAACACAUGCAAGUCGAACGGUAAGGCCCUUCGGGGUACACGAGUGGCGAGCGGGUGAGUAACACGUGGGUGACCUGCCCUGCACUUCGGGAUAAGCCUGGGAAACUGGGUCUAAUACCGGAUAGGACCACUGCCUGCAUGGGUGGUGGUGGAAAGCUUUUGCGGUGUGGAUGGGCCCGCGGCCGAUCAGCUUGUUGGUGGGGUGAUGGCCUACCAAGGCGACGACGGGUAGCCGGCCUGAGAGGGUGACCGGCCAAACUGGGACUGGGAGACGGCCCAGACUCCUACGGGAGGCAGCAGUGGGGAAUAUUGCACAAUGGGCGCAAGCCUGAUGCAGCGACGCCGCGUGGGGGAUGACGGCCUUCGGGUUGUAAACCUCUUUCAGCACCGACGAAGCGCAAGUGACAGUAGGUGCAGAAGAAGGACCGGCCAACUACGUGCCAGCCGCCGCCGUAA
rnacentral:rRNA from 1 species